rnacentral:rRNA from 1 species
CGUCAAGUCAGGAUGGCCCUUACGGCCUGGGCUGCACACGUGCUACAAUGCCCGAUACAGAGGGACGCAAUACCGCGAGGUGGAGCAAAUCCUAAAAAUCGGGCUCAGUUCAGAUUGUAGUCUGCAACUCGACUACAUGAAGCUGGAAUCGCUAGUAAUGGCGCAUCAGCUACGGCGCCGUGAAUACGUUCCCGGGCCUU